UGAGGAAUAUUGCACAAUGGGCGCAAGCCUGAUGCAGCAACGCCGCGUGCGGGGCGAAGGCCUUCGGGUCGUAAACCGCUUUUCUGGGGGAAGAGCAAGGACGGUACCUCAGGAAUAAGUCUCAGCUAACUACGUGCCAGCAGCCGCGGUAAAACGUAGGAGGCGAGCGUUAUCCGGAUUUACUGGGCGUAAAGCGCACGCAGGCGGCUCUGUUAGUCGGACGUGAAAGCUCUCGGCUUAACCGGGAGAGGCCGUUCGAUACUGCGGGGCUUGAGGUAGGGCGAGGAAUGCGGAAUUCCCGGUGUAGUGGUGGAAUGCGUAGAUAUCGGGAGGAACACCUGUGGCGAAAGCGGCAUUCUGGCCCUCACCUGACGCUGAGGUGCGAAAGCGUGGGUAGCAAACA
rnacentral:rRNA from 1 species